ACAUGAAAGAAGAAGUUUCCGCUUCUCGCCUUGUUGACAUUAGUGUUUUCAGGCUAACAAACUAUUUAAUUAAGUCUGUUUGCGGGUAUUUCUGAGAUGAAAUACCCGUUUUUUCAUGUUU
rnacentral:sRNA from 1 species